GCCAUUUCAGCCUGGAUGAGGGAAGGAGGGAAUGAGCCAUGCAGAUAAAUGACUGCCAAAAGGACCAGUAAAGGCUCUGAAAUGGGAAAGCUGGAAACCAGCAAAUCUUGGCAUCAUAAGGAAAAGGAUCCUGAGAUGCGUUGUUUCCCGUCUACUCUGAGAUGCUUCCCAGCAGGAGGGGCACAACGAUAGGAUUCUGUGGGUGGGUUGCCCUAUAACAGUGGUUCUCAACCCGAGGCGAUCCGAACGCCCUCCCCACCCCCCUUCUAGGGGACACGUGGCAGCUAUAGGAGCCGAGGUUACCUGUCAUGACUGUGGGGGGUGCCGCCAGCAACUGGGGUCUAGGCCCAGGAAGCUGGUAGACACCCCACAACGCACAGGACAGCCCCCUGCAACGCAGAAUGACCCAGUCCAAAUGUCAACAGUGCCGAAAAUGAGAAUCUCCGGUCUAGAGAAACUGGAAAAGAUGGAGAAGGGAGGAAAUGAAUGGAGGGCACUGCCUACUUAUGUCCAGCUGGUAUUUUCCCACCUAAGAAACAACACAGCAACUUUGGUCUUUUUUGAUGCUGAUUCUCCUCUAUUGAUUACGCUUUAUUAUUCCUGAAGACUUGGGUGUGUGACUUAAAUAACCCCACGUUAGACACAAGCACAACAGAAUAAAUGAAAACUGGAGGGCAAAUUCUAACAUGUACCAUAACUAUAAGAACAUUCUUUCUAAGGCUUGAAAAAGUCUUCAGAUCCUUGGUUUAAUUUAAUCGACAAUGCGUUCAUCUGCAUAUGGCAUUCAGCAGCAAAAUAAACUUUUUUUCCUGCGUCUUUUGUUUCCGAAUCAAUGGGGAACAAAGGAUAUCCCGGUUCCAUUCAGGCAGUUUCAAUGAUUCUCAAACGUGGGAGUAGUAGUCGAGCCAUUUAAAAUACAGUGAUGAGAAAGCAUACUUAGUAACCUUGUAAACAUGCUAUGAAAGUACAAGGGAACCUUUAAGAAGGAUAUCCAAAUGUCCUUUUUAUAUAAUAGCCCUUUGUACUAUGAAAUGUUCAGAGGUCCAUAAAAUGGAAUUGAACAGAACAGACUAGAAGAGUGCAAUUUCCAAGUUUUCUAGUAAUGGUGCUGUUAAAACAUUAUUUUUGUUUCUUAACACUCAGAAAAUUAAGUUUCCUCACCCCAGGAUCAGCCCUACUCACAGAAAGGACUUUGGACCCAUAUUUAACCAACCGUCAGAAGGGAUUCAAAAGGAGGCUAAUUGAACACUGAGGUUUUUGAAGCUCUCAAACGAUGACCCAAGUGUUUUCUUGAAAACAGCAGCAGCUUAGCAGGAAGCAGGAAUUAGACAAGAGAAUUGAUGGAAACCUGCCCUCCAAAUGGGAAGAAAAACUUCCAAUAACAAACUGUGAGGCCAGCUAUGGCAGACCUCAACCGAGUAAGUGAUGAAAAGGCAAGCUAGGAAACCACACAGGAAGUGGCGAGCUGAGCCCUGAGAUUCUUUCUGCUCCGAUGAUAUAAACAAAUUGCAGAGGAAGUCAAGUCAAACUUUCCCUUGCUGCUUUUGUUCUCCCAACUAGCAAUUCAGAAAACAGAGCCAACUUUUUUUCUUUUUGGAUGCCUUUGAAAGAUUGCUCUUAACUGGAAAGGCAGAAACCCUCUUUUUUUUUUAAACAAAGAUACUCAACUUAUUUUUUCAAAAAAGAAAUGCCCUAGACGGGUUUUUUUUUUUUAAAGGCCGUUUCUGAGACUUUUCAAACCAAAUUGCUUCCCUGACAUUGCAUACUUACCUAAUGGUGGUUCUUCCCUUCAAAUUUCAACCAAAAGAGCAAUAAUGAACUUCAUGAGGACAAUGGCUAAACCUGACUGGAGGCUCCUGGGGCCCUAAUUCACAACCAAGGAGAGGCAACAGUCACGAUUCAAUAAGGGUGCUAGUACAAGGCACACGCCAGACAGAAAGGAGACAUCUUAUCUGUAUAAUCUACAGACGCUGCUUGAAAAAUCACACAUAAUUAAGCCCUUCUCACAGUGGAAGCUACUUGAAGCUUUAUCACCAGCUUGUAAGAUGUCAUCUCUGGGCUUCACUGAUGGCUCUGAGUGAACAUUUCCAAACCAGAGGCAUCUGACAAUCCGGGUGAUGUGUUUACCAUGCCUACCUUAGUCAUCUAACUAAGAAGCUCUGCACUACAUAACUGAAGGAAAGCAGAAUGGCGGGGAUGGCCCUGCGGUGGCUUCCCACACUGGGUGUUCUGUUACAUUAAUCCUGGUGCAAGAAAUAAGACGUGACAGUCAUAUGCAUAUCUAUAUGCCACGCUUGCCUGUCCUCAACUGGCCCUCCCUGUACACAGGCACGCAUUUCCCUUGAGCAACAUCAGAUGAGAAAGCAAUCGCUUUUCCAUUGCAGGGGAAACAGAGAAACAGGAAACCCAGAGGCAACGACUUGCUUGGAGGCCUCCAAGAUGAGAAAAUGGAAGCAGCAAGAAGAUAAGUGACUUACCCAAGCUUCCACAAUUUGUAAGUGACAAAGCUGGGAUUCAAACCUAGGCUGUCUGGUUUCAGAGCUCACACUCUUACCCACCCUGGGAUGUUGACAGGGAAUUUGCAGAGUAAAAGGGGCAGCAACCUUAACGAACAAGUCAAGUCAAUAAUUACAAACCAUGGGCAGGACUAUGAUUGAAAAGAACAGGAAACAAGGGUUAAGACUAAUAGAAACUGGCCUUCCCUGGUGGCACAGUGGUUAAGAAUCUGCCUGCCAAUGCAGGGGACACCGGUUCAAGCCCUGGUCCAGGAAGAUCCCACAAGCCACGGAGCAACAAAGCCCGUGCACCACAACUACUGAGCCUGCGCACUAGAGCCCGCGAGCCACAACUACAGAGCCCACGAGGCACAGCUACUGAAGCCCACGCGCCUAGAGCCCGUGCUCCACAAUGAGAGAAGCCACCGCAAUAAGAAGCUGGUGCACCGCAACGAAGAGUAGCCCCCGCUCACCACAACUAGAGAAAGCCCGCGUGCAGCAACAAAGACCCAACACAGCCAAAAAUUAAAAAAAAAAAAAAAGAAUAAUAGAACCUGUUUUAGACAGGUUGCCAGAGAAGUCUUCUCUAGGUAGGGGAAAUUGCUUGAAGGAUGAAUAUGAUCAGACCAAAAAUGGCUGAGAGAAGAUUGUUCUCCAGAGAGAAGAGCGGACAGGUUAGUCUUGAGUCAGUACACAGACUGGUAUAUUUUAGGGACUGAAAAAUGGCCAUUGCUUCAGGAGGCCAAGAAGGUGAGUGUGUCUCUUGCUCAUCUCCAUAGGACAGGGGUUGGUCAACAGAUUUUUUGUAAAGCACCAAAUACUAAAUACCUUAAGCUUUGUCGGCUCUGUGGGCUCCGUCUCAAUUACUCAACUCUGAUGCUGCAGCAUGAAAGCAGCUGUACACGGCUCUCAAUGGACUGGAUGACGCCCACCCACACUGGGGAGGGCGCACUGCUUUACAGAGUCCACUGAUUCAAAUGCUAAUUUCAUCAGGAAACACCUUCACAGCCAUUCCCAGAAAUAACAUUUAACCAACAUCUGGGCAACCCAUGAUCCAGUCAAGGUGACACACAAAAUUAACCAUUACAGUCUGCUGAAGAGGAGCACACGAUAAUGGUCACCCAGGAAGAAGAAGUAUUGGCACUGACAAAGAUAACGCAAAAGAAACGCUCCAUCGUUACAAACUAGUUAAUGGGUGUCAUCAUUCAAAGAGUAUUUGAGAUUCAUCACUGCCGUGGAAAACUCAAAUUGCCUAAAAUCUUACAGGUCACAUUAUAAACAACUGGACAGAUGUUUUCCCAAAUCUGACACAACAAUCCUAAAAAUUUACAUCACCUAACCAGUAAUGUGUUGCAAAGCCAAAAGAAACUUUUCUAAAUUGACAACAACAAAUUUUGAUCAAUCCUGAUGUUGGAAAGAUUAAAUCUUCUUUCUAGUAGUCUCUCUAAAGAAAAUGAUAAUCCAAGAUCACUGUCAUAUUAACAGGUAAUCCAAGAGCGUGCAGCCAAAAUACACAGGAAACGCACAUUACAGGGAAAGUCAGGUAGUUAAUAAAAUAUAAAGAUGUUAUUUGGAGGAUUUUGUGAUGUCAGUGUUAUUUUCAGCUUUAAAAAUUGGGUAAUUUGUAGUAUAUUUUAAUUCUAAAUAAAUACUAACUUUUAUAACAUUUUUCGUAACUUUUCUACAUCCUUUCUCUUAAAGCCCCCAAAUUUUAUAACCUUCAAGGCCUACCAACCUGAAACCAGCUCUGAUUAAGCAUCUAUUAUAGGAGCCAGGCAUCUCUAGAUGCUAGAAAUGUAACAUUGAAUGGAAUAGACACUGGUGGUUUUAAAAUGUCUACAAGAAUCUGAAAAAGAAUAUAUAUAUGUCUAACUGAAUCACUCUGCUCUACACCUGAAACACUGUACACAUCAACCGUACUUCAAUAAAAAAAUUUUUUUAAGUGUAAACACAUUGGGGGAAAAUAUUCUGUGACACUCCCCCUUCAAAAG